AAUUUUCAAAAUGUUUUAAAAAUCUUGACAGUUGGUAUACUUUACCAUUUUUGUCGAACGUUCAACAGGUGUCAACUCAACUGAAAUAUUUGAAUUAGAAUGUCUAAUUUAUAAUAUCUGUUAUAUGAUAUCGAUAUACAUAGAAUACGAGCUGGAUAUUGUACGAAUAUUUGCCAGUUCCGGUAAUGUGGAAGUUUAGUGAAAGUAAUAAAUAUCGUCGGGAAAUUGAUGUAACAGUCUUGCUCUAGACUUCGGUCUAUCUCGUCAUUCUAUUACGAACCGUAACGCCUUCUUAAACUACGACGGAUUGCUCCUUUUAAUAAGUGAAAGGUGUUUCAUAGUUCGUGGUCGACAUUUCAACAUUAACUAGAAUACUGUAUUUGGCCGAAAUAAACUGUAUACUCAAAAUAAUUAUAAAAUCUUCUCUUUUCUAGUCAACCGAACAAGCAAUUUCCACGAUGGGAAAGUCACGAUGGUGGUUACAUCCUUAGCAUGAAACUGUUCGAAUGAAUAGAGAGUUGAAGAUGCAUCUGAGGUCGAAAAAAAUUAUGUUGGGUCGAAAGUGAAACUAUCAUUUCAAUGUGGAAAUGUGAUUGAA